GCGGGCNGCUUACACAUGCAAGUCGAGCGGGGAAAGGUAGCUUGCUACCUUACCUAGCGGCGGACGGGUGAGUAAUGCUUAGGAAUCUGCCUAUUAGUGGGGGACAACAUUUCGAAAGGAAUGCUAAUACCGCAUACGUCCUACGGGAGAAAGCAGGGGACCUUCGGGCCUUGCGCUAAUAGAUGAGCCUAAGUCGGAUUAGCUAGUUGGUGGGGUAAAGGCCUACCAAGGCGACGAUCUGUAGCGGGUCUGAGAGGAUGAUCCGCCACACUGGGACUGAGACACGGCCCAGACUCCUACGGGAGGCAGCAGUGGGGAAUAUUGGACAAUGGGGGGAACCCUGAUCCAGCCAUGCCGCGUGUGUGAAGAAGGCCUUUUGGUUGUAAAGCACUUUAAGCGAGGAGGAGGCUCCCAGUAUUAAUACUACUGGAGAGUGGACGUUACUCGCAGAAUAAGCACCGGCUAACUCUGUGCCAGCAGCCGCGGUAAUACAGAGGGUGCAAGCGUUAAUCGGAUUUACUGGGCGUAAAGCGUGCGUAGGUGGCCAAUUAAGUCAAAUGUGAAAUCCCCGAGCUUAACUUGGGAAUUGCAUUCGAUACUGGUUGGCUAGAGUAUGGGAGAGGAUGGUAGAAUUCCAGGUGUAGCGGUGAAAUGCGUAGAGAUCUGGAGGAAUACCGAUGGCGAAGGCAGCCAUCUGGCCUAAUACUGACACUGAGGUACGAAAGCAUGGGGAGCAAACAGGAUUAGAUACCCUGGUAGUCCAUGCCGUAAACGAUGUCUACUAGCCGUUGGGGUCUUUGAGACUUUAGUGGCGCAGCUAACGCGAUAAGUAGACCGCCUGGGGAGUACGGUCGCAAGACUAAAACUCAAAUGAAUUGACGGGGGCCCGCACAAGCGGUGGAGCAUGUGGUUUAAUUCGAUGCAACGCGAGACCUUACCUGUCU
rnacentral:rRNA from 1 species